GACGAACGCUGGCGGCGUGCCUAAUACAUGCAAGUAGAACGCUGAAGGAGGAGCUUGCUUCUCUGGAUGAGUUGCGAACGGGUGAGUAACGCGUAGGUAACCUGCCUGGUAGCGGGGGAUAACUAUUGGAAACGAUAGCUAAUACCGCAUAAUAGUAGAUGUCGCAUGACAUUUGCUUAAAAGGUGCAAUUGCAUCACUACCAGAUGGACCUGCGUUGUAUUAGCUAGUUGGUGAGGUAACGGCUCACCAAGGCAACGAUACAUAGCCGACCUGAGAGGGUGAUCGGCCACACUGGGACUGGGACACGGCCCAGACUCCUACGGGAGGCAGCAGUAGGGGAUCUUCGGCAAUGGACGGAAGUCUGACCGAGCAACGCCGCGUGAGUGAAGAAGGUUUUCGGAUCGUAAAGCUCUGUUGUAAGGGAAGAACGAGUGUGAGAGUGGAAAGUUCACACUGUGACGGUAUCUUACCAGAAAGGGACGGCUAACUACGUG
rnacentral:rRNA from 1 species